UCGUCCAAUUUUUUUGUUCAACUUCAACUUGAGAUUAAUCCUUCAUUUUGAGUCCAAAUUAAGUGAUUCAAAAGGCAAACUUCAAGAGAAUUUCGAGGGGAAUCUAGCGGUGAUCUCGGAAACGCGAGGGGAGGCUUCGUUUGAGUGGGGAAGCAUUUGGAGACCGUUCGGAGAGGAAAAGAUCCGGUACCGUGAGUUGGAGCACGCGUGAUCGGCUUUCAGGUCCGAGCACUAGUAGCCAGCGUUGAUCGAGCUUGGAGUAGACUUAUCUGGAGACGGGGGUGAGCACACGGCGUUCUGUACUAUUUCGGUCUCCAUCUGUAUAUAUAGACUUGUCUUCUUCCCUUCGAGACAGUCCAGUCUCUGUUGUCCAGUUUUGGGACUUGUACUCAU